rnacentral:lncRNA from 1 species
GGGGGGGGGGGGGGGGGGGGGGGGCCCGCCGCUCGAUUUCCUCUUUUUUUAAACCCCCAACAAAUGAGAUUUGAUUCGCUCCCGACCGCGCUGAGUCACGGAAUUCCCGAGCCCCGGAGCCGCCCGGCCCCGAGCGCCGGAGCCGCCGCCGGGACACUUUGGGGGGUCCCGGGGGGUCCCCAGCGGGCACAGCCAAGCUCUGAAGGACCCCAAACCUUCACCUGGAAGGAGCCGAUGCGAUGGAGGGAGCUCAGCCCCACCUGAGCGCAGACCUGACGACCCCGUACCUGAGGAAGGCUCCCACCCCCCCCGGCCAUGAGGACGCCGACACCGCCGUCAUCGCAGGUGAGGCCGCCGCUCCCCUCAUCCCACGGCAGCAAAGGAGCUCAAACUACCGUAAUCCCCACAAAACAGAAUUUUCCCACCUUCUUUCUGUCGCAGGAGAACAGGGUAACACAUCAGUUAAAAAUUAUUUUUUGGU